GAUGAACGCUGGCGGCGUGCCUAAUACAUGCAAGUCGAGCGAACGGACGAGAAUCUUGCUUCUCUGAUGUUACCGGCGGACGGGUGAGUAACACGUGGAUAACCUACCUCUAUGACUUGGAUAACUUCGGGAAACCGGAGCUAAUACCGGAUAAUAUUUUGAACCGCAUUGUUCAAAAGUGAAAGACGGUCUUGCUGUCACUUAUAGAUGGAUCCGCGCUGCAUUAGCUAGUUGGGAAGGUAACGCCUUACCAAGGCAACGAUGCAUAGCCGACCUGGGAGGGUGGCCGGCCAGACUGGAACUGAGACACGGUCCAGACUCCGACGGGAGGCAGCAGUAGGGAAGCGUCCGCAAUGGGCGAAAGCCUGAAGGAGCAGCGCCGCGUGAGUGAUGAAGGUCUUCGGAUCGUAAAACUCUGUGAUUAGGGAAGAACAUAUGGGUAAGUAAAUGUGCACAUCUUGACGGUACCGAAUCAGAAAGCCACGGCUAACUACGUG
rnacentral:rRNA from 1 species